GAUGAACGCUGGCGGCGUGCCUAAUACAUGCAAGUCGAGCGAACGGACGAGAAGCUUGCUUCUCUGAUGUUAGCGGCGGACGGGUGAGUAACACGUGGAUAACCUACCUAUAAGACUGGGAUAACUUCGGGAAACCGUAGCUAAUACCGGAUAAUAUUUUGAACCGCAUGGUUCAAAAGUGAAAGACGGUCUUGCUGUCACUUAUCGAUGGAUCCGCGCUGCAUUAGCUAGUUGGUAAGGUAACGGCUUACCAAGGCAACGAUGCAUAGCCGACCUGAGAGAGGGAUCGGCCGCACUAGAGCGGAGACACGGUCCAUACGCCUGCGAGACGCAGCAGUAGGGAAUCUUCCGCAAUGGUCGAGAGCCUGACGGAGCAACGCCGCGUGAGUGAUGAAGGUCUUCGGAGCGUAAAACUCUGUUAUUAGGGAAAAACAGAUGUGUAAGUAACUGUGCACAUCGUGACGGUAACGAAUCAGAAAGCCACGGCUAACUACGUG
rnacentral:rRNA from 1 species